rnacentral:rRNA from 1 species
UACGGGGGGAGCAAGCGUUGUUCGGAUUUACUGGGCGUAAAGGGCGCGUAGGCGGCCUGUGCAAGUCAGUUGUGAAAUCUCCGAGCUUAACUCGGAACGGUCAACUGAUACUGCUCGGCUAGAGUGCGGAAGGGGGCAACUGGAAUUCUUGGUGUACGGUGAAAAUGCGUAGAUAUCAAGAGGAACACCUGCGGCGAAGGCGGGGUUUGCUGGGGCCCGACACUACGUGAGGGCGCGAAAAAGCGUGGGGG